rnacentral:rRNA from 1 species
GACGAACGCUGGCGGCGUGCUUAACACAUGCAAGUCGAACGAAGUGGCGAACGGGUGAGUAACGCGUAAUCAACCUGCCCUUCAGAGGGGGACAACAGUUGGAAACGACUGCUAAUCCAGCAUACUGAAGGCGGGGAUUGCGUCUGAUUAGCUAGUGGGAGGGGUAACGGCCACCCAAGGCGAUGAUCAGUAGGCGGUCUGAAGGGAUGAACUGCCACAUUGGGACCGAGAAACGGCCCAGACUCCUACGGGAGGCAGCAGUGGGGAAUCUUCCGCAAUGGACGAAAGGCUGACGGAGCAACGCCGCGUGAUUGAUGACGGCCUUCGGGUUUUAAAGCUCUGUUAAUCGGGACGCGGUACCGGAAUAGAAAGCCACGGCUAACUACGUGCCAGCAGCCGCGGUAAUUC